rnacentral:rRNA from 1 species
CGCCUCUUGCAAAAUUAAUGAAUAAGAGGUCCCGCCUGCCCUGUGACUAUAUGUUUAACGGCCGCGGUAUUCUGACCGUGCGAAGGUAGCGCAAUCACUUGUCUUUUAAAUGAAGACCCGUAUGAAUGGCACGACGAGGGCUUAACUGUCUCCUUUUUCAGGUCAAUGAACUUGAUCUUCCCGUGCAGAAGCGGGGAUAAAACCAUAAGACGAGAAGACCCUAUGGAGCUUUAGACACUAAGACAGCUCAAAGUUAAGCACCCCUGAAUAAAGGACUAAAUGUAUUGAAACCUGCCCUAAUGUCUUCGGUUGGGGCGACCGCGGGGAAACAAAUAACCCCCACGUGGAAUAGAGACACCCUCUCCUAAAACAGAGAGCUCCCGCUCUAAUGAACAGAACCUUUCUGACCAAUAAGAUCCGGCAGAGCCGAUUAACGGACCAAGUUACCCUAGGGAUAACAGCGCAAUCCCCUUUUAGAGCCCAUAUCGACAAGGGGGUUUACGACCUCGAUGUUGGAUCAGGACAUCCUAAUGGAGCAACCAUUAUUAAGGGUUCGUUUGUUCAACGAUUAAAGUCCU